UUUCCGUAGGUGAACCUGCGGAAGGAUCAUUAAAGAGUAAGGGUCUUCUAGGCCCGACCUCCCAACCCUUUGUUUACCAAACCAUUGUUGCUUCGGCGGGCCCGUCCCAGGACCGCCGGAGGACCGUCAAACGUCCUCUGGCCCGCGCCCGUCGAUGGCCCCUAUCAUUAAACUCUGAACCAAACGUGUCCUGUCUGAGUGAUUAUUAUCAAAAAUUAAAGCAAAACUUUCAACAACGGAUCUCUUGGUUCUGGCAUCGAUGAAGAAGCAGC
rnacentral:misc_RNA from 1 species